AUGUACCCUACAGCCAUCCCGAAGUUGGUAGACUUGACGCUGGGCUGCUCGGGUUACACCGGUAUACAGUUAGGCCAAGGCGGCUAUGGACCAGGACGACUGACCGGGGUCAAGCCGAUACAUGUUCAUACAUCAAGGAGAAAAUUCCCUCAGAACGACUCCAGGGACCGAAAGGAUUCCAACUGGAAUGUAGAAGGGUCUACUUCCUCCUUCCUGGGCAGAGAGGUGUCUCCUUUGUCCCGGCUGGGCUCCUCAGAUAACUACCCAGAGAGAGACGUCUGUGGGAGUCACUUCCUGUUUGAUAAGACAUGGAAGAAUGACAACAGGAUGUAUCCCAAGUAUGAUUUCAGAGAUGAGCGUCGUCCCAUGAAGCCUAACGCCUCCAUCCCUCCCCUGCCCAGAGACUACCAGAUCCACCGGUCGGGCCACCGCCACCACUAUACCCUCCACAAGGAGCUUUCCCAUGCCCCUGCUCGCCCCCGUGCCUUUGGCUCUUAUGAAGCCUAUGACCUGACAUCAGUUCCUGCCAUCCUGCUGCCAGCUGCAUCCUCGCUCAAUGGGAGAAACCCCUUCUCCUCAGAAGGCUACAAGAACAGACCAAGAGUAAAUAACAGAACCUGCAGUCUUUUCACAAUAGGAGCUAAUCAGAAAUCCCAGUCGUACCCAGAUCCGGUAAGCGGAGCCCCGUCAGCCACAAUCAUCCAGAGACUGUCUGAGAUCGCUUCUCUGGAGGGAGAAACGGUCAGGCGGGAGAAGAUGAAGAAGAUUAGGAAGAACAGGAGGCAGGACUCCUGAUGCAACCUGUCUAUCAGCCAAUGAAGAGAGCAGAGGUCACAGUUAAAAGCUGUGACCCCAUACGCAGUGCCAAUGCCACCUGAACAAAUAAAACAUUUUGGGAAAAUAUAAACCUUUUUUCUUGUUUAAAAAUAAUCUAACUUUGUAAAAGCUUGUUGGUGCUAUGUAAUAGCAAAGUGUAAAUUCAAUAUUUUGACUUAUACCACCGUUCAAAUUUAGGGGUCACUUAGACUUGUUUUUUGUAAGAAAAACUUUUUUUUUUUUGUCCAUUAAAAUAACAUCAAAUUGAUCAGAAAUACAGUGUAGACAUUGUUAAUGUUGUAAAUGACUAUUGUAGCUGGAAACUGCUGAUUUUUAAUGGAACAUCUACAUAGGGGCACAGAGGUCCAUUAUCAGCAACCAUCACUCCUGUGUUCCAACGGCACGUUGUGUUAGCUAAUCCAAGUGUAUCAUUUUAAAAAGGCUAAUUGAUCAUUACAUAUAUAUAUAAUGCACUAAUGUUGACCAGGGCCCUAUUCCCUAUAUAGUGCACUACUUUUGACCAGAGCCCUAUUCCCUAUAUAGUGCACUACUUUAGACCAGGGCCCUAUUCCCUAUAUAGUGCACUACUGUUGACCAGAGCCCUAUUCCCUAUAUAGUGCACUACUUUAGACCAGGGCCCUAUUCCCUAUAUAGUGCACUACUUUUGACCAGAGCCCUAUUCCCUGUAUAGUUUACUACUUUUGACCAGGGCCCUAUUCCCUAUAUAGUGCACUACUUUUGACCAGAGCCCUAUUCCCUAUAUAGUGCGUUACUUUUUGACCAGAGCCCUAUUCCCUAUAUAGUGCGUUACUUUUUGACCAGGGCCCUAUUCUCUAUAUAGUGCACUACCUAUUGACCAAGGCCCAUAGGGACACUAUAUAGUAAAUAGUGUGCCAAUUGGGACAUUGACAAGAGUGCAUUCCAUAUCACCAAUAUAGAGACCACAUUUUUCCCACAGGACCAGGAAUGUGGCCUUUCCUCACUAAGUAGGCUACAUUGUGGCGUUGCAGUACUGUACAG
rnacentral:lncRNA from 8 species